rnacentral:rRNA from 1 species
UACGUAGGGUGCAAGCGUUAAUCGGAAUUACUGGGCGUAAAGCGUGCGCAGGCGGUGAUGUAAGACAGAUGUGAAAUCCCCGGGCUCAACCUGGGAACUGCAUUUGUGACUGCAUCGCUGGAGUACGGCAGAGGGGGGUGGAAUUCCGCGUGUAGCAGUGAAAUGCGUAGAUAUGCGGAGGAACACCGAUGGCGAAGGCAAUCCCCUGGGCCUGUACUGACGCUCAUGCACGAAAGCGUGGGGAGCAAACAGG